GGAUAACCUGCCCUACACUGGGGGAUAAUCUUGGGAAACUGAGGAUAAUACCCCAUAGACCACUACGCCUGGAACGGUGAGUGGUUGAAAGCUCCGGCGGUGUAGGAUGGGUCUGCGGCGUAUCAGGUCGUAGGGGGUGUAAUGGACCUCCUAGCCAUCGACGCGUACGGGUUGUGGGAGCAAUAGCCCGGAGACGGAUUCUGAGACACGAAUCCGGACCCUACGGGGUGCAGCAGGCGCGAAAACUUCACACUGCAGGAAACUGUGAUGAGGGAACUCCAAGUGACUGCACAAUGUGUAGCCUUUUCUUGAAUCUUAAUAGUUCUUGGAAUAAGGGCUGGGAAAGACCGGUGCCAGCUGCCGCGGUAAUACCGGCAGCUCAAGUGGUCGUCGCUUUUAUUGGGCCUAAAACGUCCGUAGCCUGUUUGGUAAAUCUGUGGGUAAAUCAACGAGCUUAACUCGUUGAAUUCUGCAGAGACUGCCAGACUAGGGACCGGGAGAGGUAUGAGGUACUCUGGGGGUAGGGGUAAAAUCCUGUCAUCCUCAGAGGACCACCUGUUGCGAAGGCGUCAUACUGGAACGGAUCCGACGGUCAGGGACGAAGCCUAGGGGCACGAACCGGAUUAGAUACCCGGGUAGUCCUAGGUGUAAACGCUGUGGAUUUGGUGUGUGGGGUCCGCAAUGGGCCCCAUGUGCCGGAGUGAAGAUGUUAAAUCCACUGCCUGGGGAGUACGGUCGCAAGGCUGAAACUU
rnacentral:rRNA from 1 species